AUUGAACGCUGGCGGCAGGCCUAACACAUGCAAGUCGAACGAGUGGCGGACGGGUGAGUAAUGUCUGGGAAACUGCCCGAUGGGGGGGGAUAACUACUGGAAACGGUAGCUAAUAUCGCAUACCAUCAGAUGUGCCAAGAUGGGAUGAGCUAGUAGUUGGGGUAAUGGCUCACCUAGGCGACGAUCCCUAGCUGGUCUGAGAGGAUGACCAGCCACACUGGAACUGAGACACGGUCCAGACUCCUACGGGAGGCAGCAGUGUGGAAUAUUGCACAAUGGGCGCAAGCCUGAUGCAGCCAUGCCGCGUGUAUGAAGGAGGCCUUCGGGUUGUAAAGUACUUUCAUCGGGGAGGCGUUACCCGCAGAAGAAGCACCUGCUAACUCCGUGCCAGCAGCCGCGGUAAUAC
rnacentral:rRNA from 1 species